GUUGUGGCUCAGUGGUAGAGUGCUUGCCUAGUAUGCAUUUGUCACUGGGUUCAAUCCUCAGCACAACA
rnacentral:tRNA from 1 species